rnacentral:rRNA from 1 species
UACGUAGGGGGCAAGCGUUGUCCGGAAUCAUUGGGCGUAAAGAGCGUGUAGGCGGCUCGGUAAGUCCGCUGUGAAAGUCCAGGGCUCAACCCUGGAAUGCCGGUGGAAACUGUCGAGCUAGAGUCCGGAAGAGGCGAGUGGAAUUCCUGGUGUAGCGGUGGAAUGCGCAGAUAUCAGGAGGAACACCAAUAGCGAAGGCGGCUCGCUGGGACGUUACUGACACUGAGGCGCGAAGGCGUGGGGAGCGAACGGG